rnacentral:lncRNA from 1 species
GCCCCGGUGCCCGGGCGGGCGGGCAGAGCGGCGGGAGCGCUGCCAGCAGAGCCCAGCCGGCUGCCAGGCUCCGCUCCCCGCCCUUCUUCCCCUGGGCUGUGCCAGGCCGUGCCGAGGAGCCCGCCGUGCCACCAGCCCCCCGAGAGGCCGCCCUCGGUGCCACCAGGCUGAACGGAGCCCCGAGCGAGGGCACGGAGGCGCCCCACCAGGGAACCCUCGAGGGAACCCGUGCCAAGCUGGGCCAGGACGCCGAGCUCGCGGGGACGCCUGAGGGACACGAUGUGGCCGCCCCAAAGGGCAGGCAAGUGACGCUCCUCGACAGGAUCUUCAGGCUGGAGAAGGGCAAGGGAAGGACACAGAGUGACCCCCAGGAGGGAAGGCAGAGCUUGGAUGAUCCCGAUGGGAGCAUCGCGGCCGGCGCGCCCAACGGGGUCCUGCUGGGAAAGGAGCUAGAUGAGUGCAGGCAAAAGGAGCUCGGGCAGGACUCUGCAGGUGACCGGAGCCCGGCUGCUGCAGCAGCUGGCAGGGCACAGGUGGAGCAGGGCAGUGCCCAGGCAGCUGCAGGACAGGGCUCAGUCAUGAGCUUCCUCAGAACACUGGUCUCCUCAAGCAAAGCUGAAGCCAAAAGUGAUUCUGAAGAUAAGUGUUCAGUCUUUGCAGCAAGCUUG